GAUGAACGCUGGCGGCGUGCCUAAUACAUGCAAGUCGAGCGAACGGACGAGAAGCUUGCUUCUCUGAUGUUAGCGGCGGACGGGUGAGUAACACGUGGAUAACCUACCUAUAAGACUGGGAUAACUUCGGGAAACCGGAGCUAAUACCGGAUGAUAUUUUGAACCGCAUGGUUCAAAAGUGAAAGACGGUCUUGCUGUCACUUAUAGAUGGAUCCGCGCUGCAUUAGCUAGUUGGUAAGGUAACGGCUUACCAAGGCAACGAUGCAUAGCCGACCUGAGAGGGUGAUCGGCCACACUGGAACUGAGACACGGUCCAGACUCCUACGGGAGGCAGCAGUAGGGAAUCUUCCGCAAUGGGCGAAAGCCUGACGGAGCAACGCCGCGUGAGUGAUGAAGGUCUUCGGAUCGUAAAACUCUGUUAUUAGGGAAGAACAUAUGUGUAAGUAACUGUGCACAUCUUGACGGUACCUAAUCAGAAAGCCUCGGCUAACUACGUG
rnacentral:rRNA from 1 species